UUUAUGAUGGUCUAGUGGUUUAAGGCGCUAAACACAAGUUUAGGUCCUUGUGUGAGGGUGUGGGUUCAAAUCCCACUUUUGACA
rnacentral:tRNA from 1 species